AAAUAAAAAUAAAAAAAUAAAAAAACUUGAUUCCUCUGCUAGGGUUUCAACCCUAGCUUCUACGCCACCGCGCCUCUGCCGUGAUCCCACCGUGGAAGGUGGUCGGAGUCGCACCCCAAAGGGCUUAUUGGCUCUUUUUGCGUAGAUUGAAGGCGUCGCCAGGUAUUUCCCCUACUUUCCCUUUACUUUUUGUAUUACAAUAAAUCAAAUCGAAGAAAAGAGGAAACGAAGGAUAUAAAUUACUACCUUUUAAUCUAUUUUCCUUUCUUUUUUUUUCUGAAUUUCUGUUUGUGAUUUUUAUUCUCUGCUUGUAUACUAUGUUUUGCUGUGAAUAUAAUCAUAUUUUUAUUGAUUUCGAAAAUCCGGAUCCCCUAUUACAAUAUUACAAUGGCUAUUUUAUAGUCGUAUGAAAUAAAUCUAAAAAGGAAACAAAUCUGUUUUUUGAUUUGAUUUACAAAUAUUUUGAUUCACUUUCCAUUUUCGUUUUUCCUUGAUGCGCAGGUGAAGACCGAGGACGCUCGUGGCUGCGGCGCAAAGGCUUCCUCAGAAACCCUAAGGUUUCUGCAAAUGAUUUGGGCCACUGAGCUUUGGGCCCCUGUUGUAUUUCGGGUUUUGGACCACAUAAGCCCAUUUGUAAUUCUGACCCUUUAGACCCGGGCCAAAAUAGGGUGUUACAGAUGUAUUUCAAAUUUCACGACACUUUCCUAAACUUGUUUAUGAUUUUUUUUAAUUCGGAAAAAUUCUCAAAUUUAAUUUGAGUAACAUAAUUAUAAAUUAUAAUACUUUUUAGAUACAAAUGAAGACACAAAUUAAGUGCCAAAAUCUUACAUCGACUCUCAACACUGUCCAAUUGGAAUUUAUUUAUACUUGGAAGACGCUUUUUGAUGUUUGAGUAAAGGGUUUUUAGUUAUU
rnacentral:lncRNA from 1 species